CCCGCCCUCUGCAGGACAGCAGGACAGCAGAGGAGGGAGCCCGGCCAGGCCAGCAGGCGCCCCGCCCCGCGCCCUGUGUCCUGCAGCCUCGGCUUGGGCCUCCAUCCGACUUGCAGGGGUUUGUUGAUGUCUGCAGCGAAAGCAGGCAGGCCAGGGAUUAUACACACGAAUUACCCCGCUCCUUCCCUGGAAGAGAAAAGGUCAAAUCCAUGAAAUACACGCUGCUCAUCUAGACCAGAACUCACAGCCCGUGCCUCCCUCCCAGGAGCCCGGCCUCAGCAGCAGGGGCUCAGCGCAUCCUUGUGUUCUCCCUCCCUCGGCCACUUGUUUCCAGGGAGAAGCAGCAGAUAAGGAGAAGCAAGGGGCCAGGGAUUUAGGUCGGUGGAGCCGCGCCUGCCUUGCAAGCAAGGUCCUGAGUUCGAUCCCCAGCACAAAAAAAAAGGAGGAGGAGAAGCAGAAGGACAGGGAGAAUGGACCAGGUGAGGAAAGAGACUCCCGGGAGCCUCCAGAAAGGCACGGCCCUGCCGAGACCUUGACUGACACGCUCAGCCCAGCCUCUGCUAUCACUCAGACUGGACAGGGAGAGGACCCGGGGUCUGUGACUAUUUACAGCACCAACGCACUGCUGCCACUGUAAGGAGUCCUGAGACCCUGAGGUGACACUGAGAUGGACACGGCAGGGAAAGGGCCCUCCACAUUCUUGAGGGCCCCGUGGGAGUCCCCUGUAGCUGCUGUGACCGAUGACUGCAGAUGGGGUGGCCUGAAGCAGCGGUGCCUGAUUUUCUCACUGUUGGAGAUGGGAUCUGAAAUCAGAUUCCUUCUCAAGGCCCAGGCCAAGCUCCUUCCGGCCUCUUCCAGCUUCUGGGGCAUCCAAAGUCUGCCAUGGGUCACCGCACCCCUCCUCCUCUGUGUCUCAAAUCCCUCUGCUGCCCUCUUUUAAGGACAAUGCGAGGGCACUGGGCUCCCCACAUAGACGCACACCACACUCGAGGUCCUUGGCCUAAUGGCGCCUGGUCCUUUCCCAAGUAAGGAGAGUGCGACCUGAGAU